rnacentral:rRNA from 1 species
UUGGAGGGCAAGUCUGGUGCCAGCAGCCGCGGUAAUUCCAGCUCCAAUAGCGUAUAUUAAAGUUGUUGCAGUUAAAAAGCUCGUAGUUGAAUUUCGGGAUUCAUCCGUUGGUCGGGCUUCACGGUCCGUACUGGUGUGAUGGGUUCCUACCUUCUGAAUAACCGGCAUGCCAUUAAUUUGGUGCGCCGGGGAAGCAGAACUAUUACCCUGAAAAAAUUAGAGUGCUUAAAGCAGGCAAGUGCCUGAAUAGGUUAGCAUGGAAUAAUAAAAUAGGACGGCAUGGUUCUAUUUUGUUGGUUUCUAGGAUCACCGUAAUGAUUAAUAGGGAUAGUUGGGGGCAUUAGUAUUCAAUUGUCAGAGGUGAAAUUCUUGGAUUUAUUGAAGACUAACUUCUGCGAAAGCAUUUGCCAAGGAUGUUUUCAUUAAUCAAGAACGAAAGUUAGGGGAUCGAAGACGAUCAGAUACCGUCGUAGUCUUAACCAUAAACUAUGCCGACUAGGGAUCGGACGAUGUUAAUUUUUUAAUGACUCGUUCGGCGCCUUACGGGAAAC